CCUACGGGAGGCUGCAGUGAGGAAUAUUGGUCAAUGGUCGGGAGCCUGAACCAGCCAAGUCGCGUGAGGGAGGAAGGUACUACGUAUUGUAAACCUCUUUUGUCAGGGAAUAAAGAGAGGGACGCGUUCCUGUUUGUGUGUACCUUAUGAAUAAGCAUCGGCUAACUCCGUGCCCGCAGCCUCGGUAAUACGGAGGAUGCGAACUUUAUCCGGAUUUCUUGGGUUUAAAGGGUGCGUAGGUGGGUUGUGAAGUCAGCGGUGAAAGUUCGUGGCUCAACCAUGAGAGUGCCGUUGAAACUGGCAGUCUUGAGUAGAGGUGAGGUAGGCGGAAUGCGUGGUGUAGCGGUGAAAUGCAUAGAUAUCACGCAGAACUCCGAUUGCGAAGGCAGCUUACUAGAC
rnacentral:rRNA from 1 species